rnacentral:tRNA from 1 species
GCGGGUGUAGCACAACGGCAGGGCACCAGCCUUCCAAGCUGGGGACGCGGGUUCGAUUCCCGUCACCCGCUCCA